ensembl:snRNA U4 U4 spliceosomal RNA
AGCUUCAUGCAGUGGCAGUAUCAUAGCCUAUGAAGUUUAACUGAGGCACCUUUAUUGCUAACUGAAAACUAAAAAAGACAAGUAAUCAAUCAAUUAUUUAUUAAAAUAUCUAAAAAUCUAUUAAUCAAUCAUUAGAUU